rnacentral:lncRNA from 1 species
UUCGCAUUCAUUAUCGCUACAAAAUCAGAAUCCAUAGGAUACUAUCUCAAGUCUCAACAGGAUAAAAUGACUUUUCAUCAGAUAUUAACAAAAUUCCUAUUUUUUGUAGGUUCCAAUUGAGCAGCUAGAAGGCAAUUUCUUUGUUCAACUUAUUUUCCGUCUACUUAAUUGAAGGGUAUGUAUUUACACUCCCUUUUCUUUUAUUUUUAAAAGUUGUGCUCCACUAUUUGUAGUUCCAUUGUAUUAUCACAAGUAAAAAUAUUUACCAUAAAUAAUACUAAGUUACUAACACUGGGCUGUUUUUAUCACAAAUAAAAACAAUGAUUCUGUAAAAAGUGGAGGAACUUAUGAAAGUCAUGAAACUGGUGGUUUAUUAGUAAGAGGAACAUAAUUCAAUCUUCAGGUACAGUGAAUAAGCUUAUUUUGCAACCUGGUGGUGAAAAGUACUUCCUUCUUUUAACACUGUUUUGUCUCACAACCUGCUUGAUUUUUGUAUGCAGAAACAGAUCGAGAAGAAGCUGAAUUUUUGCAAGCUGGCAACAUAAAAUCAUCAUUGUAAUUCAGAUAAACAUUGAUUAGUGUUAGAUUGCUCCAUUUCACACGUAUCAAGCAAGUAGUAUCACUCAGGUACUGUCUCCUUCCCAAUUGAGCAGCACCAUUAUUCAUUGUUCAUUCAACUUUUGUUCACCUUUAUAAUAACAAACAGGAGAAAGAAGUAGCAUCAUCAUCUUUACCAAUGAACAACUAGUUGGAGAAAAU